UACGAAGGGGGCUAGCGUUGCUCGGAAUCACUGGGCGUAAAGGGUGCGUAGGCGGGUCUUUAAGUCAGGGGUGAAAUCCUGGAGCUCAACUCCAGAACUGCCUUUGAUACUGAAGAUCUUGAGUUCGGGAGAGGUGAGUGGAACUGCGAGUGUAGAGGUGAAAUUCGUAGAUAUUCGCAAAGAACACCAGUGGCGAAGGCGGCUCACUGGCCCGAUACUGACGCUGAGGCACGAAAGCGUGGGGAGCAAACAGGG
rnacentral:rRNA from 1 species